rnacentral:rRNA from 1 species
AAUAUUGGACAAUGGGCGAAAGCCUGAUCCAGCCAUGCCGCGUGUGUGAAGAAGGUCUUCGGAUUGUAAAGCACUUUAAGUUGGGAGGAAGGGCAGUAAGUAAAUACCUUGCUGUUUUGACGUUACCCACCGAAUAAGCCCCGUCUAACUUCGCGCCCGCACCCGCGGUUAUACGAAGAGUGCACGCGUGAAUCGGAAUUACUGGGCGUAAAGAGAGCGUAGGUGGUGGGGUAAAUGUGAAGUGAAAGCCACGGGGUCAACCUGGGAACUGCUUUUAAAACUGGGAAGCUAGAGUAUGGCAGAGGGUGGUGGAAUUUCCUGUGUAGCGGUGAAAUGCGUAGAUAUAGGAAGGAAAACCAGUGGCGAAGGCGACGACCGGGACUGAUACUGAGACUGAGGUGCGAAAGCGUGGGGGGCAAACAGG